CAGAGUUUAUCCAAACUCCCAAACCCAUGUGAACAUUACCUUUUGUUGCCUCGGCAGUGGUGUCUCCUCUCCGUCCGCGGGGAUGGGGGCAGCCUGCCGGUGGACCACACCAAAACUCUUGUUGUUAUAUUGUCAUUCUGAAUUUAAAAACUUAAUCAGUUA
rnacentral:misc_RNA from 1 species